AGCACGGUGGCCGAGCGGUUAAGGCGUUAGACUUAAGAUCUAAUGGACUAAUGUCCUCAUGGGUUCGAAUCCCAUCCGUGGUA
rnacentral:tRNA from 1 species